rnacentral:rRNA from 1 species
CUACGUGCCAGCAGCCGCGGUAACACGUAAGGGGCGAGCGUUGUUCGGAAUUAUUGGGCGUAAAGGGUAUGUAGGCGGUUAGGUAAGCCUGGUGUGAAAUCUACGAGCUCAACUCGUAAACUGCAUUGGGUACUGCUUGACUUGAAUCACGGAGGGGAAACCGGAAUUCCAAGUGUAGGGGUGGAAUCUGUAGAUAUUUGGAAGAACACCGGUGGCGAAGGCGGGUUUCUGGCCGAUGAUUGACGCUGAUAUACGAAGGUGCGGGGAGCAAACAGGAUUAGAUACCCUGGUAGUCCGCACAGUAAACGAUGUACACUAGGUGUCGGGGCAAGAGCUUCGGUGCCGUAAGCAAACGCAUUAAGUGUACCGCCUGGGAAGUAUGCCCGCAAGGGUGAAACUCAAAGGAAUUGACGGGGGCCCACACAAGCGGUGGAGCAUGUGGUUUAAUUCGAUGAUACGCGAGAAACCUUACCUGGGUUUGACAUCAAGAGCAAUGACAUAGAGAUA